rnacentral:rRNA from 2 species
AGAGUUUGAUCCUGGCUCAGAACGAACGCUGGCGGCAGGCUUAACACAUGCAAGUCGAACGCACCUUCGGGUGAGUGGCAGACGGGUGAGUAACGCGUGGGAACGUGCCCUUCAGUUCGGAAUAACCCAGGGAAACUUGGGCUAAUACCGGAUACGUGCGAGAGCAGAAAGAUUUAUCGCUGAAGGAUCGGCCCGCGUCUGAUUAGCUAGUUGGUGGGGUAAUGGCCCACCAAGGCGACGAUCAGUAGCUGGUCUGAGAGGAUGAUCAGCCACAUUGGGACUGAGACACGGCCCAAACUCCUACGGGAGGCAGCAGUGGGGAAUAUUGGACAAUGGGCGCAAGCCUGAUCCAGCCAUGCCGCGUGAGUGAUGAAGGCCUUAGGGUUGUAAAGCUCUUUCGGCGGGGACGAUAAUGACGGUACCCGCAGAAGAAGCCCCGGCUAACUUCGUGCCAGCAGCCGCGGUAAUACGAAGGGGGCUAGCGUUGUUCGGAAUCACUGGGCGUAAAGGGCGCGUAGGCGGCUUGAUAAGUCGGGGGUGAAAGCCUGUGGCUCAACCACAGAAUUGCCUUCGAUACUGUCUGGCUUGAGACCGGAAGAGGUAAGUGGAACUGCGAGUGUAGAGGUGAAAUUCGUAGAUAUUCGCAAGAACACCAGUGGCGAAGGCGGCUUACUGGUCCGGUUCUGACGCUGAGGCGCGAAAGCGUGGGGAGCAAACAGGAUUAGAUACCCCGGUAGUCC